rnacentral:rRNA from 1 species
UUUGAUCAUGGCUCAGGAUGAACGCUAGCGGCAGGCUUAAUACAUGCAAGUCGAAGGGGGUAGCAAUACAACCGGCGCACGGGUGAGUAACGCGUACACAACAUGCCAUAUACUGGGGGUAUAGCUUUGGGAAACUGAAGGUAAUCCCCCAUACAUUGCGAGAGGGCAUCUGAUUGCAAUUAAAGUUUCGACGGUAUAUGAUGGGCAUGCGGAACAUUAGCUAGUUGGUAAGGUAAUGGCUUACCAAGGCUACGAUGUUUAGGGGAUCUGAGAGGAUGGCCCCCCCACACUGGUACUGAGACACGGACCAGACUCCUACGGGAGGCAGCAGUAAGGAAUAUUGAUCAAUGGGGCGGAAGCCUGAACCAGCCAUGCCGCGUGCAGGAAGACGGCCCUAUGGGUUGUAAACUGCUUUUGUACCGGAAUAAACCCUUUUACGUGUAAGAGGCUGAAUGUACGGUAAGAAUAAGGAUCGGCUAACUCCGUG